AAAAAAUUAUUUUCUAAACUAUUUGUUGUGGAUAAUGAGACUGAUUCUUUCUAUAAUAUUGAAGAAUUAGAUAGGUAUGAAGAUGAGGCUGAAAUUUUAUUGAUGGCAAAGAUAAAUAUCUCAACUACAUCUGAAUUGACACUUCAUCAGAAAUUGGAUGCUGCCAUUUCAAAUGCCACUAGAGUUGAGAAUCCAGAAGAUAUAUCAUAUAAUGUCAAUAAUAUCUCGAAGGAAAUGAAUAAUUUUGAAGCAAUAGGGAAGCACACAAAUAAUUUAGAAAAAUUGUAUAAUGCAGUAUUGACCAUCCACUGAC
rnacentral:lncRNA from 1 species